rnacentral:sRNA from 1 species
UGCCGCAGGUUCGGGUCGAACGCAGUGAGACAACGGAGCCGUUUACGGCGACGGCCCGAAGGGCGAGCGAAGCGAGUCAUCCUGCACGACCCACCA